UUGUUACAUAAUACCACAGAUUAUAUGAAAAAAUAUAAUCUGUGAUAAUACUGCGAUCAUUUACGCAUCAGCGCGCGAUACUAUUAUUUAUAAAUGACUAUUGUAUGUGAGUAGGUACGCUCGGGGACUAUUUUUAAUAAAUAAUACGCCAAAAAAUGCUGUGAUGUUACAUACAGUAUGGCACCAAUGUUAACAAUUAACAUAAUAUCAUAAAAUAUGAUUCAUAAUACAUGACAAUGUGUACAUUUACUAAAAUCAUAUUUUUCUAAUAAUAUUAUUCACAGGAACGUAGCAAUACUACACAGCAGGUAUAUAGAUUGAUGACUUGGUGGGUUGACAAACGGGUGUUACCUGACUGCCACCAACAAAAACUGAAUGCCGCAGUUUGUAUUUCUUAUUAAGAGUGAAGUCGUUUUGAAAAAAAAUCGUACUUAUGUAUAGCCCGGUAUAGUCUAGUUGAUAUGGCUCCUAAAUAUAUAUUGGAGCAGUUUAACACCAGAUGAGAAACAAGAACUUUUGUGCAGAUCCAAAUUAAAAGAAAAUCAGCUUAUGAGAAUCCAAGUAGGUGAUCGAGUUUCUCGUUACUUCGGCUUAAUAAGAGGACAAGUAGUAAAAAUUGUAAGAAAUUCUGAAACUGCUAGACGUUAUAUUUCAUACAGAUUGGUAUGCUGAGGCUAAAUAUUAAAACUACAGUAAUUUGUUCACUUAAAAUAAAUUUAAAAUAUAAAACGUUUUUAAUA